AACGAACGCUGGCGGCAUGCCUAACACAUGCAAGUCGAACGAGACCUUCGGGUCUAGUGGCGCACGGGUGCGUAACACGUGGGAAUCUGCCCUUUGCUUCGGAAUAACAGUUAGAAAUGACUGCUAAUACCGGAUGAUGUCGAAAGACCAAAGAUUUAUCGGCAAAGGAUGAGCCCGCGUAGGAUUAGGUAGUUGGUGGGGUAAAGGCCUACCAAGCCGACGAUCCUUAGCUGGUCUGAGAGGAUGAUCAGCCACACUGGGACUGAGACACGGCCCAGACUCCUACGGGAGGCGGCAGUGGGGAAUAUUGGACAAUGGGCGAAAGCCUGAUCCAGCAAUGCCGCGUGAGUGAUGAAGGCCUUAGGGUUGUAAAGCUCUUUUACCAGGGAUGAUAAUGACAGUACCUGGAGAAUAAGCUCCGGCUAACUCCGUG
rnacentral:rRNA from 1 species